rnacentral:rRNA from 1 species
GUAUCUUACCAUGCAGUCGUACGAGGAUCUCUCGGGUUAGAAUAAUUCGGCGGUUCGAGUGGCGCACGGGUGAGUAACACGUGGGUAACCCACCCUUGAGACCGGGAUACCCUCUCGAAAGGGAGGCUAAUACUGGAUACGUUCCCCGGGACGCAAGAUCUGGGGAGGAAAGGUGGCGAAAGCUGCCGCUCUUGGAGGGGCUCGCGGCCUAUCAGCUAGUUGGUGAGGUAAUGGCUCACCAAGGCUAUGACGGGUAGCUGGUCUGAGAGGACGACCAGCCACACGGGAACUGAGACACGGUCCCGACUCCUACGGGAGGCAGCAGUGGG